GUUAAACUGUACAUUAUAGCACAAGCUUGUCUUCGUCCCAAAUAUAUCAAAAUGGGCGUUGGUAUCAAGUAAGCUGGUAUUUCGGUGAUACCCAUCACAAAAAUGUAAAGAUUGAUAUGUAUUAUGCCGAACGGAGAAUAAUGAAGAGUACAGAGCAAUACAACGUAUUCAUAAAUCAAGCAAUACAGGAUAAACGUGAGAUUUACGUUAUUCGUUAUUCUUCCAUUUCGUCGUUGAUAAAUAAAAAUAAAAAACUUACGAAAAGUAAAGGAAGGAUACAAAAUGGCGGCGUGGCUUAUC